GAACGUUACCUGCACUCUGGCCUAAAUCCCUAUGUACUCUUUAGCCUCCAUUUUGUUUAAAUGUACGUAGGGAUUUAGGCCAGAGCGCAGGUAACGUUCU